rnacentral:rRNA from 1 species
UACGUAGGGGGCAAGCAUUGUCCGGAUUUAUUGGGCGUAAAGAGCGUGUAGGCGGCCAGGUAGGUCUGCUGUGAAAACUCGAGGCUUAACCUCGAGCUGUCGGCGGAAACCAUCUGGCUAGAGUCCGGAAGAGGAGAAUGGAAUUCCCGGUGUAGCGGUGAAAUGCGCAGAUAUCGGGAAGAACACCCGUGGCGAAGGCGGUUCUCUGGGACGGUACUGACGCUGAGACGCGAAAGCGUGGGGAGCGAACAGG